rnacentral:rRNA from 1 species
CCUACGGGAGGCUGCAGUGAGGAAUAUUGGUCAAUGGCCGCAGGGCUGAACCAGCCAAGUCGCGUGAGGGAUGACGGUCCUAUGGAUUGUAAACCUCUUUUGUCAGGGAGCAAAGGGCGCCACGUGUGGCGCUUUGCGAGUACCUGAAGAAAAAGCAUCGGCUAACUCCGUGCCAGCAGCCGCGGUAAUACGGAGGAUGCGAGCGUUAUCCGGAUUUAUUGGGUUUAAAGGGUGCGCAGGCGGGAGAUCAAGUCAGCGGUAAAAUGUCGGGGCUCAACCCCGGCCGGCCGUUGAAACUGGUUUUCUAGAGUUGGAGAGAAGUAUGCGGAAUUCGUGGUGUAGCGGUGAAAUGCAUAGAUAUCACGAAGAACUCCGAUUGCCAAGGCAGCAUACCGGCUCCAUACUGACGCUGAGGCACGAAAGCGUGGGGAUCGAACAGGAUUAGAUACCCGGGUAGUC